UACGGGGGGGGCAAGCGUUGUUCGGAAUUACUGGGCGUAAAGCGUGCGCAGGCGGUUCGCCAAGUCAGGUGUGAAAUCCCCGGGCUUAACCUGGGAAUUGCGCUUGAAACUAGCGGGCUUGAGUGUGGCAGAGGGGGGUGGAAUUCCACGUGUAGCAGUGAAAUGCGUAGAUAUGCGGAGGAACACCGAUGGCGAAGGCAAUCCCCUGGGCCUGCACUGACGCUCAUGCACGAAAGCGUGGGGAGCAAACAGG
rnacentral:rRNA from 1 species